rnacentral:rRNA from 1 species
ACAGGGAUUGCCCUAGUAACGGCGAGUGAAGCGGCAACAGCUCAAAUUUGAAAUCUGGCUCUUUUAGAGUCCGAGUUGUAAUUUGCAGAGGGCGCUUUGGCUUUGGCAGCGGUCCAAGUUCCUUGGAACAGGACGUCACAGAGGGUGAGAAUCCCGUACGUGGUCGCUGGCUAUUGCCGUGUAAAGCCCCUUCGACGAGUCGAGUUGUUUGGGAAUGCAGCUCUAAAUGGGAGGUACAUUUCUUCUAAAGCUAAAUAUUGGCCAGAGACCGAUAGCGCACAAGUAGAGUGAUCGAAAGAUGAAAAGCACUUUGGAAAGAGAGUCAAACAGCACGUGAAAUUGUUGAAAGGGAAGCGCUUGCAGCCAGACUUGCUUGCAGUUGCUCAUCCGGGCUUUUGCCCGGUGCACUCUUCUGCAGGCAGGCCAGCAUCAGUUUGGGCGGUAGGAUAAAGGUCUCUGUCACGUACCUCUCUUCGGGGAGGCCUUAUAGGGGAGACGACAUACUACCAGCCUGGACUGAGGUCCGCGCAUCUGCUAGGAUGCUGGCGUAAUGGCUGUAAGCGGCCCGUCUUGAAACACGGACCAAGGAGUCUAACAUCUAUGCGAGUGUUUGGGUGUCAAGCCCGAGCGCGUAAUGAAAGUGAACGGAGGUAGGAACCCGUAAGGGUGCACUAUCGACCGAUCCUGAUGUCUUCGGAAGGAUUUGAGUAAGAGCAUGGCUGUUGGGACCCGAAAGAUGGUGAACUAUGCUUGAAUAGGGUGAAGCCAGAGGAAACUCUGGUGGAGGCUCGCAGCGGUUCUGACGUGCAAAUCGAUCGUCAAAUUUGGGCAUAGGGGCGAAAGACUAAU